UACAUAAAAUGUUGUAUCUGAACGUGUUAACAAUGACACUUGCAUUGACAGCUUUGACAUUAUUUAAAGGUUAUAAAACUUAUAAAUUUGGUAAAUCUAUCCGUGCUUUGUGGAGCUUGGUGUAUUUGUUUAAAAUUAUGCAUACCUACCUAAUAUAGGUAUUAUAUUUCUUAACCAUACAAUGGAACCAAAUGAUAAUUAUAUGUACAAGUGAUGUUUUAUUGUAACAAGCCUUUGUGUCGCGAGUUUACUUGUAGGUGCAACUUUUGUUAGUAAUAAUUUUGUAAUGCUAUUUAUGCAUGGAACAAUGCAAUGGUUAUUAUACUCGGCCACCUAGCCAACCUACUUACUACGGGGAAGGAUGGUUCACAAAUUAGGCAGUAUUUAAAUAACUGUGUACCUGCUGAUUAAAAAUAAGAUGUUUUCUGCGUACAGUUGGUUAUAAUUAAGUUGGCUAAUCUAUAUCUCAUCAGACAGUUUGGACAUCUAUUCCAGAGAGUUUGCAAGAUCCUGAAAGUACCAUCUUUAGCCACUGUUACUGUUGAAUAACUCCAGGCUUUGGAAGAAAAGCUGUGGCCUGCGAACAGCUGUGAAUAUUGGUCGGAGAAGUGUAACUGACUCCGUACACUGCAAGUCCCAGCAGGAAAUCAGCAAGAAACCUAAAAGAAAAAAAAAACAUCAAAAUGGAAACCUUGAUUUAGGUUGAAGUAAUAAAAUUGUUCUAAUUUAA